UAUUCCUGCUCGGCCUGCAGGAACACGUCACCGUAGGUCACCUUGUCGGCGCCGUCGCGGCCGUUGAAGUUGAGAUCGUAGACGUUGUCGACACCCUGCACGUACAUCGCGAGGCGCUCGAGACCGUAGGUCAGUUCGCCCGCGACCGGCGCGCAUUCCACGCCCGCGACCUGCUGGAAGUAGGGGAAUUGCGAGACUUCCAUGCCGUCGCACCAGCACUCCCAGCCGAGACCCCAGGCGCCGAGCGUCGGGCUUUCCCAGUCGUCCUCGACGAAACGCAC
rnacentral:misc_RNA from 1 species